rnacentral:rRNA from 1 species
CUACGGAGGGUGCGAGCGUUAAUCGGAAUUACUGGGCGUAAAGGGUGCGUAGACGGCUUGAUAAGUCGGAUGUGAAAGCCCCGGGCUUAACCUGGGAAUUGCAUUCGAUACUGUCAGGCUAGAGUAUGUCAGAGGUUGGCGGAAUUCCUGGUGUAGCGGUGAAAUGCGUAGAUAUCAGGAGGAACACCAGUGGCGAAGGCGGCUAACUGGGGCAAUACUGACGCUGAGGCACGAAAGCGUGGGGAGCAAACAGGAUUAGAAACCCUAGUAGUCC